rnacentral:rRNA from 1 species
AUUGAACGCUGGCGGCAGGCCUAACACAUGCAAGUCGAACGAGUGGCGGACGGGUGAGUAAUGGCUGGGAAACUGCCCGAUGGACGGGGAUAACGAGUGGAAACAGUAGCUAAUACCGCAUACCAUCGGAUGUGCCCAGAUGGGAUUAGCUAGUAGGUGGGGGAACGGCUCACCUAGGCGACGAUCCCUAGAUGGUCUGAGAGGAUGACCGGCCACCCUGGAACUGAGACACGUUCCUGACUCCUCCGGGAGGUAGCAGUGGGGAAUAUUGACCAAGGGGCGCAAGCCUGAUGCAGCCAGGCCGCGUGUAUGAAGAAGGCCUUCGGGUUGUAAAUUACUUUCAGCGAGGAGGCGUUACUCGCAGAAGAAGCACCGGCUAACUCCGUGCCAGCAGCCGCGGUAAUUC